GAAUCUUGCGCAAUGGGCGAAAGCCUGACGCAGCCAUGCCGCGUGAAUGAUGAAGGUCUUAGGAUUGUAAAAUUCUUUCACCGGGGACGAUAAUGACGGUACCCGGAGAAGAAGCCCCGGCUAACUUCGUGCCAGCAGCCGCGGUAAUACGAAGGGGGCUAGCGUUGUUCGGAAUUACUGGGCGUAAAGGGCGCGUAGGCGGACUGUUAAGUCAGGGGUGAAAUCCCGGGGCUCAACCCCGGAACUGCCUUUGAUACUGGCGGUCUUGAGUUCGGGAGAGGUGAGUGGAAUUCCGAGUGUAGAGGUGAAAUUCGUAGAUAUUCGGAGGAACACCAGUGGCGAAGGCGGCUCACUGGCCCGAUACUGACGCUGAGGUGCGAAAGCGUGGGGAGCAAACAG
rnacentral:rRNA from 1 species